CAGCAGUCGCCGCGGGAAUACGGAGGGGGCUAGCGUUGUUCGGAAUUACUGGGCGUAAAGCGCACGUAGGCGGCUUGGUAAGUUAGAGGUGAAAGCCCGGAGCUCAACUCCGGAAUUGCCUUUAAGACUGCCGAGCUAGUAGGUGAGAGAGGUAAGUGGAAUUUCGAGUGUAGAGGUGAAAUUCGUAGAUAUUCGGAAGAACACCAGUGGCGAAGGCGGCUUACUGGCUCAUUCUAGACGCUGAGGUGCGAAAGCGUGGGGAGCAAACAGGAUUAGAUACCCGCGUAGUCCCUGUCUCUUAUAC
rnacentral:rRNA from 1 species